UACGGAGGAUGCAAGCGUUAUCCGGAUUCAUUGGGUUUAAAGGGUGCGUAGGCGGAAUAAUAAGUCAGUGGUGAAAGCCUGUGGCUUAACCAUAGAAUUGCCAUUGAUACUGUUAUUCUUGAGUAUAGUUGAAGUGGGCGGAAUGUGUAAUGUAGCGGUGAAAUGCUUAGAUAUUACACAGAACACCAAUUGCGAAGGCAGCUCACUAAGCUGUUACUGACGCUGAGGAACGAAAGCGUGGGGAGCAAACAGG
rnacentral:rRNA from 1 species